UUUUAUUGGAGAGUUUGAUCCUGGCUCAGGGUGAACGCUGGCGGCGUGCCUAAGACAUGCAAGUCGAGCGGGGCAGGUUUAUACCUGUUCAGCGGCGGACGGGUGAGUAACGCGUGGGUGACCUACCCGGAAGAGGCGGACAACCUGGGGAAACCCAGGCUAAUCCGCCAUGUGGUCCUAUCCUGUGGGGUAGGACUAAAGGGGCGACCCCCCGCU
rnacentral:rRNA from 1 species